rnacentral:rRNA from 1 species
GACGAACGCUGGCGGCGUGCCUAAUACAUGCAAGUCGAGCGGACGAAUCGAAAGCUUGCUUUUGAUUCGUUAGCGGCGGUCGGGUGAGUAACACGUGGGCAACCUGCCCUGUAGACGGGGAUAACACCGAGAAAUCGGUGCUAAUACCGGAUAACACGAAAUGUCGCAUGACGUUUCGUUGAAAGACGGCGCAAGCUGCCGCUACAGGAUGGGCCCGCGGCGCAUUAGCUAGUUGGUGAGGUAACGGCUCACCAAGGCGACGAUACGUAGCCGACCUGAGAGGGUGAUCGGCCACACUGGGACUGAGACACGGCCCAGACUCCUACGGGAGGCAGCAGUAGGGAAUCUUCCGCAAUGGACGAAAGUCUGACGGAGCAACGCCGCGUGAGCGAAGAAGGCCUUCGGGUCGUAAAGCUCUGUUGUUAGGGAAGAACAAGUAACGCAGUAACUGGCGUUACCGUGACGGUACCUAACGAGAAAGCCACGGCUAACUACGUG